rnacentral:rRNA from 1 species
GACAGAGGUGGCAAGCGUUGCUCGGAAUCACUGGGCUUAAAGGGUGUGUCGGCGGGUCGGUAAGCAUUUUGUGAAAGCCCCGGGCUCAACCCGGGAAUUGCAGGAUGGACUGCCGUCCUUGAGGCGCGUAGAGGUCACUGGAACUCUGGGUGGAGCGGUGAAAUGCGUAGAUAUCCAGGGGAACGCCCAUGGCCAAGGCAGGUGACUGGGCGCGUCCUGACGCUGAGGCACGAAAGCGUGGGGAGCAAACGGG